AUUAUAUUGGCAGAUUAGUGCAUUAAAUUUAGAAUUUAAUUAAAUGAAUUAUUGAAGUAUUUAUAUAUAAUA
rnacentral:tRNA from 2 species